rnacentral:snRNA from 1 species
UCGCUUUGGCAGCACAUAUACUAAAAUUGGAAGGAUACAGAGAAGAUUAGCAUGGCCCCUGCGCAAGGAUAACACGCAAAUUCGUGAAGCGUUCCAUAAAAAA